rnacentral:rRNA from 1 species
AGGAAUAUUGGUCAAUGGACGAGAGUCUGAACCAGCCAAGUAGCGUGAAGGAUGAAGGUCCUACGGAUUGUAAACUUCUUUUAUAAGGGAAUAAACCCUCCCACGUGUGGGAGCUUGUAUGUACCUUAUGAAUAAGCAUCGGCUAACUCCGUGCCAGCAGCCGCGGUAAUACGGAGGAUGCGAGCGUUAUCCGGAUUUAUUGGGUUUAAAGGGAGCGCAGACGGGUCGUUAAGUCAGCUGUGAAAGUUUGGGGCUCAACCUUAAAAUUGCAGUUGAUACUGGCGUCCUUGAGUGCGGUUGAGGUGUGCGGAAUUCGUGGUGUAGCGGUGAAAUGCUUAGAUAUCACGAAGAACUCCGAUUGCGAAGGCAGCACAACUAAUCCGUAACUGACGUUCAUGCUCGAAAGUGUGGGUAUCAAACAGGAUUAGAUACCCUGGUAGUCCACACGGUAAACGAUGGAUACUCGCUGUUGGCGAUAUACUGUCAGCGGCUUAGCGAAAGCGUUAAGUAUCCCACCUGGGGAGUACGCCGGCAACGGUGAAACUCAAAGGAAUUGACGGGGGCCCGCACAAGCGGAGGAACAUGUGGUUUAAUUCGAUGAUACGCGAGGAACCUUACCCGGGCUUGAAUUGCAAAGGAAUAAUCUGGAAACAGGUUAGUCUUCGGACCUUUGUGAAGGUGCUGCAUGGUUGUCGUCAGCUCGUGCCGUGAGGUGUCGGCUUAAGUGCCAUAACGAGCGCAACCCUCGCCGCCAGUUACUAACAGUUAAAGCUGAGGACUCUGGCGGGACUGCCAUCGUAAGAUGUGAGGAAGGUGGGGAUGACGUCAAAUCAGCACGGCCCUUACGUCCGGGGCUACACACGUGUUACAAUGGGCGGUACAGAAGGCAGCUACCUGGCGACAGGAUGCCAAUCCCUAAAGCCGCUCUCAGUUCGGACUGGAGUCUGCAACCCGACUCCACGAAGCUGGAUUCGCUAGUAAUCGCGCAUCAGCCACGGCGCGGUGAAUACGUUCCCG